GUUCCUCUGAAGCGCAACGGCCACCGCUUUGGACUUCUAAUUCAAAGUUCGAGAGGUCGAAUCUCCCCUGGAAUG